CCUACGGGAGGCAGCAGUGAGGAAUAUUGCGCAAUGGGCGAAAGCCUGACGCAGCGACGCCGCGUGAGGGAUGAAGGUCUUCGGAUCGUAAACCCCUGUUAGCAGGGAAGCACGGUCACUGUGCUAAUCAGCAGUGAAUUGACGGUACCUGCAAAGGAAGCACCGGCUAACUCCGUGCCAGCAGCCGCGGUACUACGGAGGGUGCGAGCGUUGAUCGGAAUUACUGGGCGGAAAGCGCUCGUAGGCGGUAUGUCAAGUCAAGGGUGAAAUCCCCGCGCGCAAAGUGGGAACUGCCGUUGAAACUGGCAGACUGGAGUGUGUGAGAGGAAAGUGGAAUGCCAGGUGUAGGAGUGAAAUGCGUAGAUAUCUGGAGGAACAUCAGUGGCGAAGGCGACUAUCUGGCACAUAACUGACGCUGAGGAGCGAAAGCGUGGGUAGCAAACAGGAUUAGAUACCCUUGUAGUC
rnacentral:rRNA from 1 species